AAAGGUUUUUCAGAGUCUCUCCUGUGUUUUCUAACUGCCUAGGGAGCUGGGGCAAGAGACUCCUUUGAUCCCAGAACUGAAGGUCAGCCUGGGGUCAAAGUGUGUCCAAGCCCCUACCUAACUCAUACAGGGGUCUCUGUCUGGAUGGUCUGAUGGUUGUGCCAGAAAAGAACUAAAGGUGGUGGAAAGAGAAAACCCAGUGAACUCUGUGCUGGGGGCACAUCUUCAGCCUGGGGAUGAGUUUCGGGGGUACACCACACUGGACUGAAGGGGAGACGCUGGAGCGCCCCCACCCACAUUGUCUGAACUGAAGGAGAGAAUCCAGGGUGCACCCAUACUGUUCUGUGCUGAAGGGGAGACUCUGGGGCACCCCCAUACUGUCCAGGCUAAAGGGGAGACUCUGGGUGCCCCAGACUGUAAGGGAUUGUUGGCAGGUCAUUUUCAGCCCGGAGCUCCAGACUGGGCAUUGGGCGCAGAGGCCCUCUAAGAAGGUUGUGCCCCGGUGUCUCCUCCCUAAGUAGCUCACUAAAGAAAGCUGGCUCGAAAUGGGAUUGUGCAGACCCAGCUUUGGGAUGCAGGAUCAGGUCGGGAUUGGUCCGCUAAUCCGCUGAGAUCAUCAGUUUCUGUGCCCUGUGCUCUGUGCCCUUCAGGUAGCAGGUAGCGAUUCCGAGCGGCUGCCACUGGAGGAGGGCCUGGCUUCUAUAGGCCUUCUAUAGGCCUUGCUUCCUGCUUCCUGCUUCCUCCCCUCUUCCUACCUGUUAUCCUGUAGUCCUGUCCCCCACCCCACCCCAAAAGUACGUCUAAGCUCCACCCACCUUCCAAAUAGCCACUCAGCUUUGAGGUAGGUACCAGUAGGGCACAGCGGUGGGAAUGCGGAAGCACACAGUUCAUCUUUAUACCCUGCUCUGUUCUGUAGGUAGGAGCCACAUCCCUCUGGGGCCAGGCUCAGGAGACCAAACUGUGAGGUACCUUUGCCCUUUAUCAUGCCUUCUUAGCAAGUGACUUGGCCUCCCUCUGCCUCUGUUUGCCCAUCUGUGAAAUGGGAGUGUGACAGUAGUAUCUACCUCAAAUGACUCGAUCGGAUGAGGCAGCCAUCCGAUGUGCCUGGCUCACCAGUUCGGGAUGAAGAACUUGAUAGGAGGGCCUGUGAGGUGGCUCAACAAGCAAAGGUUGUGGCCACCCAGUGUGACAAACCUGAGUUUGAUUCCCUAGAUCCUGGUGCUGAGAGCAAAGAACCAACUCCCCCAAGCUUUCCUCUGACUGCCACACAUGCACACCACAGCGCACACACGUCCCCUGUGAUGAGUAAAGGAACAAAUGUAAAGUAAUAUUGAAAACAGUCAUAAAAGCCUGAUAGUGACUCCCCAUGCAGGCUAGCCUUGGUUCGUUUUUUUCUAUUGUUCUUGAUUUGAGACAGGAUCUUAUGUAGCCCAGGCUGGCCCGGAAAUCACCGCUGCCUCAUGGGGACUAAGAUGGAUGUCUUCGGCUUCUGGGUCUCUAGUGUGCUGGGAUUACAGCAACACUGUGCCCUGCUGUGUAUUUUUCCUAGUGUUAUCCCAUGUUGCCUCCUAACUACCUAGGGAGAUAAUUAACACCAUCGGUGGACAAACCUAGGAGCAGAGGGUCUCUUUCGUUUGGGGUUCACUCUAAGCCAUCCUGUUCUGCCUUCUCCCCACACCUGUGCUAGCCGAGACUCUGUGCAUACUGGGCAAGUGCUCUGAUGUUCUAUCUCCAGUCUUGUUUGUUCUAGUAACUUCUAAUCUCCAGUAAGGCUUAAGACGGUGGCUCUGCAGAAGAAGGCAGUCUCAGGACUCCCAUAAAUCCAUUACAGUUUCAGGCAGAGUUCAUGCGCAGGAGGAGAAAUGAAAGUAGCAAGUGAAGUCUUUGAACCCGCCGUCUUUUUGCUUUGGUGAAAUAUAUUGAAGCCGUGGCAGUGACUGGUACAGAUGCAGUCAUAGCCAAACUGGAAAGGGGAAAGGCCUUGUAGGGCACCUUUGAUCCAGCAGGCAGAGAGGCGAGCAGAUCUCUGAGCUUGAAGCCAAUCUAGGUAAGCAUAGUGACACCCUGUCUCGAAAAGAAAACCCUCCCGGGAAAGAGUUGUGGCUACCCAUCCCUCGCCUGCAGAGUGGGAGAGCAAACUGUGACACAGGCAGGCAGCAGGAGACUCCUCAGCCAGUGACAAAGGUGGCUCCAACACGCGGCAUGGAGAAAGCCUCAGCCGCUCUCGGCGCUGACGAAAACACCUGGACGCAUGGUAUGGACUGGACAAUUCCACUCGGAUGAUGCCUCGAACCUUCUCGCAGAGGUCACUCGGGUGGCUGCUCCCUGGGAAGGGAGUUCCAAUCAGUCCCCGGGAACCAUCUAGUGCAAAGAGAACAUCCUGGUGUGGAUGCAGUCCUCGGCAGCCCCCAUAGAAGUGUACCAUACACCCUGCUCCGGGGUUCCUAUAACUCAUAGAACAUCCCUCCAGAUUUGAGCUGCUGUGACCUCCAUUUUUGAGAGACAGAAAUGAAGGCUGGCAACCCUUCAUCUGCUUUCUGUCACCAUAGAUUAGUGUGCGCGUUCUAGAACUCUGCAGACAUGGAAUCCUACAGGAACUCCUCCGCGUCUAGCUCGUUCUGGGGAUUCGGUGCGGUGGCCGGCACUUGUUCCAUCUCAGCUUCUCCAUCCAGACAGCGAAGGUGGACACGUCCUGGUUUCGCUGAGAACAGGCUCACAAGAGAGCGCUAGACCUGUAUACUGCAGGUGCUCAAUAAAUGCCCUCACUUACUGUGCCUCUUCUGUUGAA
rnacentral:sRNA from 1 species